UACGGAGGGUGCGAGCGUUGUCCGGAAUCAUUGGGCGUAAAGGGCGCGUAGGCGGCUGGGGAAGUCGGCGGUGAAAGCCCGGAGCUCAACUCCGGGUCGGCCGUCGAGACUCCUCGGCUCGAGCUCACUAGAGGCAGAUGGAAUUCCGGGUGUAGCGAUGGAAUGCGUAGAGAUCCGGAAGAACACCGGUGGCGAAGGCGGUCUGCUGGGGUGAGGCUGACGCUGAUGCGCGACAGCGUGGGGAGCAAACAGG
rnacentral:rRNA from 1 species